GACGAACGCUGGCGGCGUGCUUAACACAUGCAAGUCGAACGGAAAGGCCCUGCUUUUGUGGGGUGCUCGAGUGGCGAACGGGUGAGUAACACGUGAGUAACCUGCCCUUGACUUUGGGAUAACUUCAGGAAACUGGGGCUAAUACCGGAUAGGAGCUCCUGCUGCAUGGUGGGGGUUGGAAAGUUUCGGCGGUUGGGGAUGGACUCGCGGCUUAUCAGCUUGUUGGUGGGGUAGUGGCUUACCAAGGCUUUGACGGGUAGCCGGCCUGAGAGGGUGACCGGCCACAUUGGGACUGAGAUACGGCCCAGACUCCUACGGGAGGCAGCAGUGGGGAAUAUUGCACAAUGGGCGGAAGCCUGAUGCAGCAACGCCGCGUGCGGGAUGACGGCCUUCGGGUUGUAAACCGCUUUCGCCUGUGACGAAGCGUGAGUGACGGUAAUGGGUAAAGAAGCACCGGCUAACUACGUGCCAGCAGCCGCGGUGAUACGUAGGGUGCGAGCGUUGUCCGGAUUUAUUGGGUGUAAAGGGCUCGUAGGUGGUUGAUCGCGUCGGAAGUGUAAUCUUGGGGCUUAACCCUGAGCGUGCUUUCGAUACGGGUUGACUUGAGGAAGGUAGGGGAGAAUGGAAUUCCUGGUGGAGCGGUGGAAUGCGCAGAUAUCAGGAGGAACACCAGUGGCGAAGGCGGUUCUCUGGGCCUUUCCUGACGCUGAGGAGCGAAAGCGUGGGGAGCGAACAGGCUUAGAUACCCUGGUAGUCCACGCUGUAAACGGUGGGUACUAGGUGUGGGGUCCAUUCCACGGGUUCCGUGCCGUAGCUAACGCUUUAAGUACCCCGCCUGGGGAGUACGGCCGCAAGGCUAAAACUCAAAGGAAUUGACGGGGCCCCGCACAAGCGGCGGAGCAUGCGGAUUAAUUCGAUGCAACGCGUAGAACCUUACCUGGGUUUGACAUGGAUCGGGAGUGCUCAGAGAUGGGUGUGCCUCUUUUGGGGUCGGUUCACAGGUGGUGCAUGGCUGUCGUCAGCUCGUGUCGUGAGAUGUUGGGUUAAGUCCCGCAACGAGCGCAACCCUUGUUCACUGUUGCCAGCACGUUAUGGUGGGGACUCAGUGGAGACCGCCGGGGUCAACUCGGAGGAAGGUGGGGAUGACGUCAAGUCAUCAUGCCCCUUAUGUCCAGGGCUUCACGCAUGCUACAAUGGCUGGUACAGAGAGUGGCGAGCCUGUGAGGGUGAGCGAAUCUCGGAAAGCCGGUCUCAGUUCGGAUUGGGGUCUGCAACUCGACCUCAUGAAGUCGGAGUCGCUAGUAAUCGCAGAUCAGCAACGCUGCGGUGAAUACGUUCCCGGG
rnacentral:rRNA from 1 species